rnacentral:tRNA from 1 species
GCAUUUGUAGCUCAGAGGUAGAGCAACUGCCUUCUAAGCAGUAUUGCGGGGGUUCGAUUCCCUUCAAAUGCUCAA